GCCCCGGUAGCUCAGAGGAUAGAGCGUCUGCCUCCGGAGCAGAAGGUCGCAGGUUCGAGUCCUGUUCGGGGCA
rnacentral:tRNA from 1 species